rnacentral:rRNA from 1 species
CCUACGGGAGGCAGCAGUGGGGAAUAUUGGACAAUGGGCGAAAGCCUGAUCCAGCAAUGCCGCGUGAGUGAUGAAGGCCUUCGGGUCGUAAAGCUCUUUUACCCGGGAUGAUAAUGACAGUACCGGGAGAAUAAGCUCCGGCUAACUCCGUGCCAGCAGCCGCGGUAAUACGGAGGGAGCUAGCGUUGUUCGGAAUUACUGGGCGUAAAGCGCACGUAGGCGGUUAUUCAAGUCAGAGGUGAAAGCCCGGGGCUCAACCCCGGAACUGCCUUUGAAACUAGAUGACUGGAAUCUUGGAGAGGUCAGUGGAAUUCCGAGUGUAGAGGUGAAAUUCGUAGAUAUUCGGAAGAACACCAGUGGCGAAGGCGACUGACUGGACAAGUAUUGACGCUGAGGUGCGAAAGCGUGGGGAGCAAACAGGAUUAGGUACCCUGGUAGUCCACGCCGUAAACGAUGAUAACUAGCUGUCCGGGUACUUGGUAUUUGGGUGGCGCAGCUAACGCAUUAAGUUAUCCGCCUGGGGAGUACGGUCGCAAGAUUAAAACUCAAAGGAAUUGACGG